rnacentral:other from 1 species
UGUUACCUGAAAUGUUCGACACCCUGUUAUAUUUGAACCUACAAUUUGAAAAAGGGAUUCCUAUAUUAUCUGAUUGAUGUCAGGCCUCUUUUAAGUGGAAGGCAGAUAUCAGCAUUGCGGUUGCCCACCUAGCACUGCUAGGACUCAAAAGGCAGGAACGGCAUUUUGGGCUACAU